UUUUUUUCAUAAAAAGAGUGCUUUUUGUCAUAAUAUGUAAAUGGUAGAUAUAGCACGAGGAUUAUUCAUGUCAAAAUAGAAGAUGACAGCAAGUUAUUUUGUGAAUUGUGCUAUAUUAGAGCGUUAUAUGCAAUUAUACGCGUCAAUCAUCUGCAAACACCAAGCUAUAUGAUAACAGUGCCAUAAAAUUGUGCUCCAGGCGUGAACAUAUGCUUGAAGACAUCAUACUUUCCAAGUGUCCUUGUUUGUUUUCUUCCAGUCCCUCUCCCAAAUCCCCAUGCCUCUCUUUCCUCCCCUGUUCCCCAGAUCCCCUCUACAUCACUUUAUUCCAAUCAA